rnacentral:rRNA from 1 species
CCUACGGGAGGCAGCAGUGAGGAAUAUUGGUCAAUGGACGAGAGUCUGAACCAGCCAAGUAGCGUGAAGGAUGACUGCCCUAUGGGUUGUAAACUUCUUUUAUAUGGGAAUAAAAUGUUCCACGUGUGGGAUUUUGUAUGUACCAUAUGAAUAAGGAUCGGCUAACUCCGUGCCAGCAGCCGCGGUAAUACGGAGGAUCCGAGCGUUAUCCGGAUUUAUUGGGUUUAAAGGGAGCGUAGGUGGAUUGUUAAGUCAGUUGUGAAAGUUUGCGGCUCAACCGUAAAAUUGCAGUUGAAACUGGCAGUCUUGAGUACAGUAGAGGUGAGCGGAAUUCGUGGUGUAGCGGUGAAAUGCUUAGAUAGCACGAAGAACUCCGAUUGCGAAGGCAGUUCACUGGACUGCAACUGACACUGAGGCUCGAAAGUGUGGGUAUCAAACAGGAUUAGAUACCCCUGUAGUC